ensembl:lncRNA
GAUCCACAUAAAAAGCUGCUCUAUGAGACUUUAAACAGCAGCUGGAACAUUUCUAUUUUCUUUUUUAAAGGUUAUAUUGUUGAUAAGAAAUUCACUUCCGCUCAAUUUUAAUUGUCUAGUCUGGUUUCUAGUCUGUCUGGUAAGACCAGGCUACGCAUACACGGCCUCUGGCAUCUUCUGUGGCCCCUCCUCCUUAGGUGAACGCUGAUCAGUACAGGCUACUUCAGGAGACACAACACGGCUCGCUGCUCGCUUUACUUCAUGGAGAAGAUGAUCUGCAGCAUCCUGCUGCUCAUCAUCCUGACCUCCUGUGUCUCUGGAACAUUUGUAGUGAAUGUGACCCAGACCUCCUAUCAGGCAGAGGAGAACCACGACAUCACACUGGAGUGGACCUUCACAACCAACCCUCACAGUUCCUCCAACUCUCUUAAUAUCUUCUGUGAACUGUUAACUGAUCUCAGACCCUCAGUCCUGUUUCAUCUCCAUGAAGGAGUUGAGGUCCCAGAGUCUCAGGAUGAACAGUUUGCAGGACGAGUCCAGUGGGACAAAGACGUCCUCAGAGAAGGACGACUCAGACUUCAUGUGUCCAGACUCAGGACUGAAGACUCAGGACUGUACAAGUGUCAAGUGUUCACAAGUCAUGAGAGGAGCUCUGGUAAAUGUUGGCUCAAUGUCACUGGUAAGUUGAUUCAGGAAAACUGGAGUUUUU